GAGAUGCAAAGGUAGGAGAGGGAGGAGAAGAAAGGAGGGAUAAAGAAGGAUCAAGAAAAGGAGAAGGAACCCUGAGGCCAAGCGCUCUCUGAAUUCAAUCCCCCAAGCUGUGGAAUCAUCGCCCCCCGCCCCAUCCUGCAGGAUUUCUGAUUCCCAACCCUUGGCCCAAUGGAGGAGGCGGAGGCUGUGAGGAAGAGGAAGAUGGCCCAAGACAGCCAGGCAGACAAGGAGCUGAGGACAGGCACCAGGGAGGGCAAAUCCCCACGGCAGAACCUUGUGGAAGAGGCCGUUUGCAGCGGCUCCACGGCGCAGGAAUCCCACCGGGAGGAAAAGCUGUGGAGAUCCCGCAGGAGGAGGGGCUGCAAACGAGGAUUGAGGGGA